rnacentral:rRNA from 1 species
AUUGCUUAGUAGCGGCGAGUGAAGCGGCAAAAGCUCAAAUUUGAAAUCUGGCGCCUUCGGUGUCCGAGUUGUAAUUUGAAGAUUGUAACCUUGGGGUUGGCUCUUGUCUAUGUUUCUUGGAACAGGACGUCACAGAGGGUGAGAAUCCCGUGCGAUGAGAUGCCCAAUUCUAUGUAAGGUGCUUUCGAAGAGUCGAGUUGUUUGGGAAUGCAGCUCUAAGUGGGUGGUAAAUUCCAUCUAAAGCUAAAUAUUGGCGAGAGACCGAUAGCGAACAAGUACAGUGAUGGAAAGAUGAAAAGAACUUUGAAAAGAGAGUGAAAAAGUACGUGAAAUUGUUGAAAGGGAAGGGUUUGAGAUCAGACUCGAUAUUUUGUGAGCCUUGCCUUCGUGGCGGGGUGACCCGCAGCUUAUCGGGCCAGCAUCGGUUUGGGCGGUAGGAUAAUGGCGUAGGAAUGUGACUUUACUUCGGUGAAGUGUUAUAGCCUGCGUUGAUGCUGCCUGCCUAGACCGAGGACUGCGAUUUUAUCAAGGAUGCUGGCAUAAUGAUCCCAAACCGCCCGUCUUGA